rnacentral:rRNA from 1 species
GACAGAGGGUGCAAACGUUGUUCGGAAUUACUGGGCGUAAAGCGAGUGUAGGCGGUUUGGUAAGUCGGAUGUGAAAGCCCUGGGCUCAACCCAGGAAGUGCACUCGAUACUGCCAAGCUAGAGUAUCGGAGAGGUUGGUGGAAUUCUCGGUGUAGAGGUGAAAUUCGUAGAUAUCGAGAGGAACACCGGUGGCGAAGGCGGCCAACUGGACGAAUACUGACGCUGAGACUCGAAAGCGUGGGGAGCAAACAGG